CCUACGGGGGACUGCAGUGGGGAAUAUUGGACAAUGGGGGGAACCCUGAUCCAGCCAUGCCGCGUGUGUGAAGAAGGCCCUCGGGUUGUAAAGCACUUUCAGUGAGGAAGAACGCCUGGUGGUUAAUACCCAUCAGGAAAGACAUCACUCACAGAAGAAGCACCGGCUAACUCCGUGCCAGCAGCCGCGGUAAUACGGAGGGUGCGAGCGUUAAUCGGAAUUACUGGGCGUAAAGCGCGCGUAGGUGGCUUGAUAAGCCGGUUGUGAAAGCCCCGGGCUCAACCUGGGAACGGCAUCCGGAACUGUCAAGCUAGAGUGCAGGAGAGGAAGGUAGAAUUCCCGGUGUAGCGGUGAAAUGCGUAGAGAUCGGGAGGAAUACCAGUGGCGAAGGCGGCCUUCUGGACUGACACUGACACUGAGGUGCGAAAGCGUGGGUAGCAAACAGGAUUAGAUACCCGAGUAGUC
rnacentral:rRNA from 1 species